rnacentral:tRNA from 1 species
GUCCCUGUAGCUCAGCUGUAUAGAGCGUAUGCCUCCUAAGCGUAAGGUCGCAGGUUAGAAUCCUGCCAGGGACGCCA